rnacentral:rRNA from 1 species
GUCCACACCGUAAACGAUGAUUACUAGAUUUUGGCCUUAUGGUCAGAGUCCAAGCGAAAGUGUUAAGUAAUCCACCUGGGGAGUACGCCCGCAAGGAUGAAACUCAAAGGAAUUGACGGGGGCCCGCACAAGCGGUGGAGCAUGUGGUUUAAUUCGAUGAUACGCGAGGAACCUUACCUGGGCUUGAAAGUUAGUGACCGCUCCUGAAAGGGAGCUUUCCGCAAGGACACGAAACUAGGUGCUGCAUGGCUGUCGU